UACAGAGGUGGCAAGCGUUGUUCGGAAUUAUCUGGGGCGGUAAAGGGCGCGUAGGCGGCCUUCUAAGUCGAACGAUGAAAUCCCCGGGGCUCAACCCGGGAACCUGCGUCCGAUACUGGGAGGCUUGGAAUCCGGGAGAGGGAUGUGGAAUUCCAGGUGUAGCGGUGAAAUGCGUAGAUAUCUGGAGGAACACCGGUGGCGAAGGCGGCAUCUGGA
rnacentral:rRNA from 1 species